UCGAGCGGAACGAUGCCUAGCUUGCUAGGAGGCGUCGAGCGGCGGACGGGUGAGUAAUGCAUAGGAAUCUGCCCGGUAGUGGGGGAUAACCUGGGGAAACCCAGGCUAAUACCGCAUACGCCCUACGGGGGAAAGCAGGGGAUCUUCGGACCUUGCGCUAUCGGAUGAGCCUAUGUCGGAUUAGCUAGUUGGUGAGGUAACGGCUCACCAAGGCUGCGAUCCGUAGCUGGUCUGAGAGGAUGAUCAGCCACAUCGGGACUGAGACACGGCCCGAACUCCUACGGGAGGCAGCAGUGGGGAAUAUUGGACAAUGGGCGAAAGCCUGAUCCAGCCAUGCCGCGUGUGUGAAGAAGGCCUUCGGGUUGUAAAGCACUUUCAGUGAGGAAGAAAGCCUUGAGGUUAAUACCCUCGAGGGAGGACAUCACUCACAGAAGAAGCACCGGCUAACUCCGUGCCAGCAGCCGCGGUAAUACGGAGGGUGCGAGCGUUAAUCGGAAUUACUGGGCGUAAAGCGCGCGUAGGCGGCUUGAUAAGCCGGUUGUGAAAGCCCCGGGCUCAACCUGGGAACGGCAUCCGGAACUGUCAGGCUAGAGUGCAGGAGAGGAAGGUAGAAUUCCCGGUGUAGCGGUGAAAUGCGUACAGAUCGGGAGGAAUACCAGUGGCGAAGGCGGCCUUCUGGACUGACACUGACGCUGAGGUGCGAAAGCGUGGGUAGCAAACAGGAUUAGAUACCCUGGUAGUCCACGCCGUAAACGAUGUCGACUAGCCGUUGGGCUCCUUGAGAGCUUUGUG
rnacentral:rRNA from 1 species